rnacentral:rRNA from 1 species
AAGGAUCAUUACAGAGCGAUCGCCCCCCCGGGGGCGACCCUCCCACCCUUUGCUAUACAUUGCCCUUGUUGCUUUGGCGGGCCGCCGCAAGGCCACCGGCUCCGGCUGGUGCGCGCCCGCCAGAGGACCCCAAACCCUGCCUUACAGUGUCGUCCGAGUACUAUACAAUAGUUAAAACUUUCAACAACGGAUCUCUUGGUUCUGGCAUCGAUGAAGAACGCAGCGAAAUGCGAUAAUUAAUGUGAAUUGCAGAAUUUAGUGAAUCAUCGAAUCUUUGAACGCACAUUGCGCCCCUUGGUAUUCCGGGGGGCAUGCCUGUUCGAGCGUCAUUUCAACCCUCAAGCUCUGCUUGGUCUUGGGCCGCGCCGGCGACGGCGGGCCUCAAAAACAGUGGCGGCGCCAUCGGUUCCCUCAGCGUAGUAACUCUUCUCGCUGCUGGGCCCCGGUGGCCGCUGGCCAGCAACCCCCAAACUUUCUUAUGGUUGACCUCGGAUCAGGUAGGGAUACCCGCUGAACUUAA